UCCUACGGGAGGCAGCAGUGGGGAAUAUUGCACAAUGGGCGCAAGCCUGAUGCAGCCAUGCCGCGUGUAUGAAGAAGGCCUUCGGGUUGUAAAGCACUUUCAGCGGGGAGGAAGGCGAUACGGUUAAUAACCGCGUCGAUUGACGUUACCCGCAGAAGAAGCACCGGCUAACUCCGUGCCAGCAGCCGCGGUAAU
rnacentral:rRNA from 1 species